CUCUGUGACUCCUACGGGAGGCAGCAGUGGGGAAUAUUGCACAAUGGGCGCAAGCCUGAUGCAGCAACGCCGUGUGAGUGAAGAAGGUUUCGGAUCGUAAAACUCUGUCCUAAGGGAAGAAACAAAUGACGGUACCUUAGGAGGAAGCCCCGGCUAACUACGUGCCAGCAGCCGCGGUAAUACGUAGGGGGCAAGCGUUAUCCGGAAUCACUGGGCGUAAAGGGUGCGUAGGCGGCUUAGCAAGCCAGGGGUGAAAGGCAUUGGCUCAACCAAUGUAAGCCUUUGGAACUGUUAAGCUUGAGUGCAGGAGAGGUAAGUGGAAUUCCUAGUGUAGAGGUGAAAUUCGUAGAUAUUAGGAGGAACACCAGUGGCGAAGGCGACUUACUGGACUGUAACUGACGCUGAUGCACGAAAGCGUGGGUAGCGAACAGGAUUAGAUACCCUGGUAA
rnacentral:rRNA from 1 species